UCAAGGCCAUCAUGGUCUACAGAGCAAAUUCUAGGUCAGCCAAGGCUACACCGAGAAACCCUGUCUCAAAAAAAUCAAAACAAAGCAAGUUUAUAUUGUCAAUUUUUGAGAAAAUUUCAAAACAACAAGAACAAAAAAUGUGUUUCCUGUCUUCCAGCUAGGUUUUCCUCAUCUUUAAGAAGAAGCUAUUUUGGGAUGCAUUUCAUGAUGCAUGCUUGCAUCUAAUCAUCUUCUUCCCUUGCAGAUGAUUCCAAUUGAGUCAGACUUGGGAGAUAACAGAUUGUCUUUGGAGAUAGAUAGAUGGGAAGCCGUAAACAGAACUGUUAAAUCUAGAGGCGCGUCUGGAAGGGCCUUGAAUGAGAAAUGGUUUCAAUGAAAACAUUUAUUUUGGAUAUAAGAUGAAAGACAAUUUGUUGUCAGCUUGAAUUUCACUUCAGCAAUCUUUUGGUAAUAUCCAUAUUAUAUGAAAAUCAAGUCACAACUUUCUAUAUUGAAGAAGGAGAAUCAUAUAGUUUAAUGUGUUUGAAAUUAUUUUAUAAAAGAUAAAUGUUAGAGAAGUUGAAAAUAAAAGACUAUAUGUUUAGUGAUGUUGCA
rnacentral:lncRNA from 1 species